GCCUUCCAGGCAUGCCAGAAACACGCAAAGACACUGCAUUCAGAAACACGAUUUCAGAGGCUAAAUGGGAUCUUCUCCUUCCCGCCUGCCUGCAGAUACUCUCAGGGAAAAGCAGCAGGAACAACGAAUAGCAGGAAGUCAAUAAACCGCCUUAGCGCAUUCAGGGGGUGUGGAUGCCUGAGGAGAAAGAAACGUGACUCUUCAGCCCGAGGGAUGGCAGAGGAGGACGAAUGGGUCCCCUUCCCGCAGUCACACGGAAAACACAAACUGCAGGUACAACACGCACUAAGCGUUGGAGACUGCAGAGGGAAGGACAGACCAGGACAGUGGUAUUUCAGCAGCUACGUUGGAGUUUUCAGCUCAAGCAUCCAAAAUGUGUAGUAGUCCUUUGAAAAAACUUACCUUUUUAACAUUUUUGCAACUUUCAUUCACCGUAAAAAGCUCUUAAAAAUUUUAUAGUCCUUUUUUCUAUGCUGUGAUCUGUAAGUGGUAGAGGUAUGCUCAGUGAAGCUUGGCUGGCAUAGGAAUGUCUUGUAGGACUGCAAAGUUGUAGUAUAAAGUCAGUGUUGGACUGGAGCCGUGAGGAGCCCUGGAAGAGCCAAGGAAGAUCCUGUCCGGCACAGCAUGAGUCUCGGGACCCUGCUCGAAGCCUGGCGGAGGAAGGCUAACAAGGAGGCAGGUGGCUUCCUGAUUUUCAGACAUCUGAUCUUGACAGAAAUUAGUUACAUGUUAGUAUUUGGGUAGGGAAGGAUCAGCAGAGCUUUGCCCUUCUACCUUUCCUAACUGCAGUAGCAUUAAAUGACAUGGGCCAGUUAUAGAUGGUAGUUUGAUAUCAGAGACAGUGAAGUUGCCUUUCUUAACUUCUGCUGGCGUAAUUCCCCCAUAAAGGGUAGGGGGAACUUUCAUUCAUUUGUUGACGUUAGCUUUUUAAAGGCAAUUUAUAAUACAUGGGACAAAAGAUCUCAGCAGGCCAGAUUUGGAGGAAAAAAAAAAAAGAACCCAUGCUGUUUCUGUGAACCCUUGCAGUUAGGAUGGCUGUAUUCAGUAUAUCGAGAACUCCUGAUUUUGGAAAAAAAAAAGUGGUAGUAAAACUGAGCUUUUGUUUGUUUUGUCAGAUGUAAUGGGGUAGUUCUUUGUUACCUCUCGCAGAAUAGUGGUAACUACGGUCCUCUGCAGAAGCACAGUCUUUUAAAUCUAAAUUGACCAUCUUUUAACAAGAGAAGGCAUAGAAUAGCUUUGACAGAAGAGAAUUUCCUGUGGAUAGAAGGGUCAUUAUCGACCCUGUAUACAGUCUUUUUCAAAGCAAUGUGAGGUGGAGGGAGAUAAGCAGGUCAAAAAAAAAAAAGGGAAAAAAACAGAGGAACAGCAUACAGACUAAGGAACUAGAGAAUGGAGAAGUGAGAUGGAGCUCAGAACUAACAUGUCGUAAAGAGAGAACAAAGAAAACAAAGUGAUGAAGAACCUUGAGAAAGGUCCUAAAAUACACUGAGAUGGUGGAAUCUUUGUUUCAUAAUUGCAGUAAUCUUUACAGUUUGUGAUGCAAUAUCUCACAGAACCAGGAAGUAGUAGCAAUUAACUGAAUUCUCAAAUAGAUACCUGCUUUAUCAACACGCUUUUUAGAACUGCAUUUUUUUAAAUUUUAUAAACUUAUGAACUACAUUAAAACACAGUUACCUUAAGCUUAAUUUUGAGAUGCAUAAAUUGUUGUCUAACCAACCUGCAUUUUAAGGUAAACUAGCCUAGGCCUAGAUGAGUUUGCAAAGUCAGGUUAUUGUUUAUAUUGGUUUUGUAGUCCAUGUUAACUCCUUGUAGUCACUGUGGAUUAGUAUUUAAGAACUAAGCUUGUAAUAUCAACCUACUUAUAACUGGUGGUGUAUCUAGCACUUUGCCAGUGAUUCAGUAUUAAAAAAAUUAACAUAAAUGCAACUGCAAAAUUCAACUGUUACAUGUUAGGGGAAUUUGAGAGUAAAAACUGCUAGAAAAUAAGAGUAAGCCAUGUAGAUAGAUGAGUGGAAUGGCCAAAAACAUUUAAUUACAAUUAGGUAAUAUGUAUGAUGUAGCUGUGAAGUGAAUUUCAGUGCUAUUCACCCCUAUGAACUGUUGAAAUAAAGCAAGACAUUUUGUACUUCCUACA
rnacentral:lncRNA from 1 species